ACUGUACAAGCUAGAAAGUAACUUAAGACCCUACCAGUUUAGCUCAUUCAAUUUAAUGUCAAAAUGAAAAUUGGUGACUUCCAUAUGUUGGAAAAUUAUACAAUAGCAUAAGUAGUCAAACCGCUUGAUAAUCUCCAAGGGACAUGUAAGUUGGACGAUAUUGUUGGUGAGAUCCCUAUAAAUAUACCCCUAAUUAAUCUCUUUUCCCCAAAGAGAGAAAGGUCAUGCAAAUUCUGCAUUCUUCUUGUUCCAUGAAUAAUUUAAAAUGUUUUCAAGGAAAAGAAGCCAAACAGCAUUUG
rnacentral:misc_RNA from 1 species